GGGACGCACAGGCCUGUGCCCCAUGCCCAGGCCUGCUGGGGGGACAGCACUGUACAUCCAGAGCCUGAAAGGAAAUGUGUCCCUGGAAUAAACACAGCACAGCUUCACCAGCGUGCAGCCAUCAGCACAGCAUGCCAGGGUGGACACACUGGAGCAGCACAGCAGUGUUGGCAGCCGUGGGCCCGGCGCUCCUGCUGCCGGCCCUGCCAGCACCGGGCCCCGGCGCGGCCCGGCACUCGCGGCCCGGGGGGCACAGCCCUGCAGCAGCCGCCAUCCAGAAAAGGUGCCAGGGAACGGCUCUCUGGCACGGAUGGUGGGCUCUGCCUAGCCUGCAGCAAUGAACAGGGAUGGGAGCUGGGAAAGUGCAAAACAUGCCUAAAAUCUGACAAAUUAUGCAGGAGACUUCCCAGAAGAAGUACCUGGAGGAGACCUUUGGAGACUCAUCCACUCAUGCUUUGGAAGGCUGUGUGCUCAGUCAUUGAAGGGAUUGCAGGGUUGCUACAACAGGAGAGGACAGAGGAAACAUUUCCGUCAGCCCUUCUGCAGCCCUGCCCCACCGGGUGAACAUUCACGCUCAUUGUCAUUCACCACGCUCUCACCCCAGUGCUGCCUGUGCCUGUGCCCUUCUCACGGGGCUUGCCAAAGAAGCAAUUUUACAGGAAUGCAGUAAGAGAAGCUAGGGUCAGCAGGCCGCCUUUAAUUUCUUUGUCUCUGUCUGAACACAAUACAAUCAGCAGCAUGCAGCAACAUGGACCAUCCUUCUCCCAGUUUCCUUUUUCUUUUGGAAGAUGGGGACACUGCAGAGAUCCUGAUUGUACCCUCAGCUAUGUGACAACAGAGAGUUCUGUCACUUGGCAGUGACCCUCAGCAGCCCGUCCUUGCUGACUGGGAGCCAAAGUCUGCUUUACAAGGAUGGUCCAAUGCUGAAGGUGAAAGUGUAGCCAGCAUUCAUAAAGUGGUGGAGUAACGCAUUCAUGCAUGGCUGGUGGUGGCUGACCCUUGCCCAUGGCCCUAGCUUGUCAGUCAUCCAUUCCCUGUGGCUUAGCACUGACCACUGGUGGCAGAUCACAGUGUGAUCUGCACCUGUGCCAAGUAUGGGGAGAGGGAUUUAGCAAUGCAAGUGUCAGCAGCCUGCAUCUCUCUGGGGAGGUAACACACUCUGAGUCCCUAUUAAAUAGCGC
rnacentral:lncRNA from 1 species